rnacentral:lncRNA from 10 species
GCUGCUGCUGCCGCUGCCUGUCCUGCUGGGCGGCCACCUCCUCCCAGAGAAGAAGAGCACUCACAACUGCUGCUGAUCUCCUUCCAGGGCUUCCGCUGGGACUAGGAUCAGGAUGUGGACACCCCCAACCUGGACCGUCUGGCCGGGGAGGGCGUCAAGGCCAAGUACCUCAUGCCGCCCCUUGUCACAAUGACCUCCCCUUCCCACUUCACUGCCAUCCCAGGUAAGCGUCACUCUGCCC